GACGAACGCUGGCGGCGUGCCUAAUACAUGCAAGUCGAACGCAGUUGCGAACGGGGGAGUAAAGCGUAGGUAACUGCCCCAUUGCGGGGGAUAACUAUUGGGAACGAUAGAUAAUACCCCCUAAUGUGAGAUGGACCUGCGUUGUAUGAGCUAGUUGGUGGGGCAAAGGCUCACCAAGGCGACGAUCCAUAGCCGGCCUGAGAGGGUGAACGGCCACACUGGGACUGGGACACGGCCCAGACUCCUACGGGAGGCAGCAGUAGGGAAUCUUCGGCAAUGGACGGAAGUCUGACCGAGCAACGCCGCGUGAGUGAAGAAGGUUUUCGGGUCGUAAAGCUCUGUUGUUAGGGAAGCGGUAACGAACCAGAAAGCGACGGCUAACUACGUGCCAGCAGCCGCGGUAAUAC
rnacentral:rRNA from 1 species